GAGAGGGAAGAAUGAGAAGUGACUACUUCAUGGAUACAAGGUUUUCUCUGGGGGUGAUGAAAAUAUUUUGACAUCUGAUAAAGGUGGUGGUAGUACAGCACUGUGAAUGUACCAAUUGCCACUGAAUUGUGCAUUUUAAAGUGAUUGAUUUUAUGUGGAACAAAUUUCACUUUAAUUAUAAAAAGUGAAUAAACUUUUAGAAGCUAACCUUGGAAGAAGGUAGAGACUGGAAGGGAUCACAAGAAAGGCUUCUGGGAUGUUGGUUGAUUUCUCUAAGAAGUACAUGCUGAAAUGAAGAUAAGAGUACAAAAUAUUUAUCGGAGAGUAGUAACACAGAGGAGACACAGGAUUUGGCAGAAACACUAAACCAUGGUGAAGACCGGCUAAAGUCUCUUUGUCCAAAGGGGAGCUCUAAAGUAAAUAUGAGCCAUUAAGGGAGCCCCACACUGGAUGGAAAUGGCCAAGCCUUUUUACAACCACCUUCUCCUUGAGACACUGCCUGCAAUUCACCCUGGGAAAGCAAAACCUCAACUGUUUCUGCCUCAUUCAUUCUUUGUCAGUGCCGUAAGAAGAUUGAGAUUUCAGCUUGUAACUGUUGAAGCAAAACCUAAAGUGGUUAAUAAUGGGAGUUUGUCACAACUAUCUUAACACAAAUAUAAAAUAUUUGCAUGA
rnacentral:lncRNA from 10 species